CUACGGGUGGCUGCAGUGGGGAAUAUUGGACAAUGGGGGAAACCCUGAUCCAGCAAUGCCGCGUGUGUGAAGAAGGCCUGCGGGUUGUAAAGCACUUUCGGUUGGGAGGACUGCUUCUAGCACUAAUAUUGUUGGAAGUUGACGUUACCUUCAGAAGAAGCACCGGCUAACUCCGUGCCAGCAGCCGCGGUAAUACGGAGGGUGCAGCGUUAAUCGGAAUUACUGGGCGUAAAGCGCGCGUAGGCGGCUAGAUCAGUCGGGUGUGAAAGCCCCGGGCUUAACCUGGGAACUGCAUCCGAUACUGUCUAGCUUGAGUACAGGAGAGGAGAGUGGCAUUCCACAUGUAGCGGUGAAAUGCGUAGAUAUGUGGAGGAACACCAAUGGCGAAGGCAGCUCUCUGGCCUGAUACUGACGCUGAGGUGCGAAAGCGUGGGGAGCAAACAGGAUUAGAUACCCGUGUAGUC
rnacentral:rRNA from 1 species